rnacentral:rRNA from 1 species
UACGUAGGGGGCGAGCGUUGUCCGGAUUUACUGGGCGUAAAGAGCGCGUAGGCGGCCUGUUAAGUUGGCUGUGAAAGGUCCCGGCCCAACUGGGAUAAGUCAGCCGAGACUGGCGGGCUUGAGGGCGGUAGAGGAAGGUGGAAUUCCGGGUGUAGUGGUGAAAUGCGUAGAUAUCCGGAGGAACACCGGUGGCGAAGGCGGCCUUCUGGGCCGUACCUGACGCUGAGGCGCGAAAGCGUGGGGAG